AACGAACGCUGGCGGCAUGCCUAACACAUGCAAGUCGAACGAUACCUUCGGGUCUAGUGGCGCACGGGUGAGUAACGCGUGGGAACCUGCCCUUCGGUUCGGCAUCACUCCCCGAAUGGGGUGCUAAUACCGGUAAUUGUCUUCGGUCAAAAGUUUUCUCGCCUUUGGAUGGGCCCGCGUUGGAUUAGCUAGUUGGUAGGGUCAAAGCCUACCAAGGCGACGGUCCAUAGCUGGUCUGAGAGGGUGAUCAGCCACACUGGGACUGAGACACGGCCCAGACUCCUACGGGAGGCAGCAGUGGGGAAUAUUGGACAAUGGGCGAAAGCCUGAUCCAGCAAUGCCGCGUGAGUGAUGAAGGCCUUAGUGUUGUAAAGCUCUUUUACCCGGGAUGAUAAUGACAGUACCGGGAGAAUAAGCUCCGGCUAACUCCGUG
rnacentral:rRNA from 1 species